rnacentral:lncRNA from 1 species
AAAAGUGUAAUUGAGUGCUUCAAUUACAUCCAAUUCGGUAGGAUUCACCGGCUACAAUGGUUACCCAAAUAUGUCACGUUUUUGUAAUUAUAAUCAAUUACACCCAAAUCUAUUUACUAGGUGGCUUUCAAAUCAUUACAUUGAUAUUUUUACGUUGAAUGACACAAAAGUUUUAUGUUAAACAUAUUUUGAUAUUAAUAUGAAAUAUAGUCCUUUGAAUAUAAGCAUGAAUUAGGGGUGUAAUUGAGCCGAACUGACCCCAAAU